ACUCAAAUGAAUUGACGGGGGCCCGCACAAGCGGUGGAGUAUGUGGUUUAAUUCGAUGCAACGCGCAGAACCUUACCUGGCCUUGACAUGCACGGAACCCCGCAGAGAUGUGGGGGUGCCUUCGGGAACCGUGACACAGGUGCUGCAUGGCUGUCGUCAGCUCGUGUCGUGAGAUGUUGGGUUAAGUCCCGCAACGAGCGCAACCCUUGUCCUUAGUUGCCAGCACGUAAAGGUGGGAACUCUAAGGAGACCGCCGGUGACAAACCGGAGGAAGGUGGGGAUGACGUCAAGUCCUCAUGGCCCUUACGGCCAGGGCUACACACGUACUACAAUGGUCGGUACAGAGGGUUGCCAAGCCGCGAGGUGGAGCCAAUCCCAGAAAACCGAUCUCAGUCCGGAUCGGAGUCUGCAACUCGACUCCGUGAAGUCGGAAUCGCUAGUAAUCGCGGAUCAGCAAUGCCGCGGUGAAUACGUUCCCGGGCCUUGCACACACCGCCCGU
rnacentral:rRNA from 1 species